GACGAACGCUGGCGGCGUGCUUAACACAUGCAAGUCGAACGGUGAAAGCGGAGCUUGCUCCGCUGGAUCAGUGGCGAACGGGUGAGUAACACGUGGGCAACCUGCCCCUCACUUCGGGAUAACUCCGGGAAACCGGGGCUAAUACCGGAUAUGACCUCCUUGGGCAUCCUUGGAGGUGGAAAGUUUUUCGGUGAGGGAUGGGCCCGCGGCCUAUCAGCGUGUUGGUGAGGUAGUGGCUCACCAAGGCGACGAAGGGUAGCCGGCCUGCGAGGGCGGCGGGCCACACUGGGACGGAGACACGGCCCAGACUCCGACGGGAGGCAGCAGUGGGGAAGAUUGCGCAAUGGGCGAAAGCCUGACGCAGCAACGCCGCGGGCGGGAUGACGGCCUUCGGGUUGUAAACCGCUUUCAGCAGGGAAGAAGCCGCAAGGUGACGGUACCUGCAGAAGAAGCACCGGCUAACUACGUGCCAGCCGCCGCCGUAA
rnacentral:rRNA from 1 species